rnacentral:lncRNA from 1 species
AUAAAACUACUGUACGAUACCAUACCUAAUACACAUUUACAACAUUACACCUGCACACCAGUACACCUGUCAUAAACAUAAUAGACCUGUAAUAUACGCGUGUACAAUAAUACACCUGUAAUAAAGCAAUUAUAACACAAUAAUAACCCUACCUGGGUUCUGCAGUAUUAUAAUUAUAGUAUUGUAACUAUAGCCUAAUAUUUACCCCCCUCUUCUCCUCCCCUCCAGUCUCAGAGCGGCCAGUCAGACCGCCCUCCCCCUCCCCCACCGAUCGGAGCUCCCCGGAGCCCCGCGCCAAAGAAGAAGAGGAGGAGGAAGAAGAGGAGGAAGAGGAGGAGGCGGUGCAGGAGGAUGUGCAGGAGGAGGAAAAGAGGCCGAGCCGCAAAAAGAAAACCCGCACAGUGUUCUCCCGCAGCCAGGUGUUCCAGUUGGAGAGCGCAUUCGACGCCAAGCGAUACCUGAGCAGCUCGGAGCGCGCGUGCCUGGCUUCCAGCCUGCACCUGACCGAGACCCAGGUGAAGAUCUGGUUCCAGAACCGCCGGAACAAGUGGAAGAGACAGCUGGCUGCCGAGCUCGAGGCGGCGAACGCGCACCAUCAUCACCAUCAUCAUCACCAACAGCAGCACAGGAUCGUGCGCGUGCCCGUGCUGUACAGAGAGAGCGCCGAGAGCGCGCGAGGGGGAGCCGCUGGAGGGGGCGUGGGAGGAGGAGUGGGGCAACCCUUACUGUUUCCAUAUUACCCCCAUCCCAUAAUGCCCAGCGUACCACUGCUCAGACCUGUUUAGCCCAGAUUAUUAUUAUUAUUAUUAUUAUUAUUAUUAUUAUUAAUAAUAAAUAUUUGGGUUUACAAAAAUGCAUACAAAACAACUACAGAGCAUUUAUGUUAACCCAAACUGGAACACUGGAAGUUUAAAAAAAGGUGAUGGUAAUGUUUUUUUAUUAUUUUUAUUAUUAAAAGUUAAUUAUUAAUUAAUUAAUUAAUUGACCCUGAGUAUGUAAAUGAGUACUGGGCCUGCGUGCAUAUGCCCCGCCCCUCCCGCGCGGGUGUUUUUACAGCUCAGUCUGGACAAUCUCUCACUCUGUUUCACUCUUUUAUACUCAGAACUUUAAAGACUGUCGGGCUCUUUGAACCCCUUCACUGUAAAUAUUCACAAACACUGGUGUAAAUAUAAACAGUGCUGCUGUACAUGGAGAGAGUUUUGAUAUUGUACUGCUGUAAUAAACCGAUUCAUUCAGAUUCUCA